AUUGAACGCUGGCGGCAGUCCUAACACAUGCAAGUCGAACGAGUGGCGGACGGGUGAGUAAUGUCUGGGAAACUGCCUGAUGGCGGGGGAUAACUCCUGGAAACGGUAGCUAAUACCGCAUACCAUCAGAUGUGCCCAGAUGGGCUUAGCUAGUUGGUGGGGUAACGGCUCACCAAGGCGACGAUCCCUAGCUGGUCUGAGAGGAUGACCUGCCAAACUGGAAUGGAGACACGGUCCAGACUCCUACGAGAGGCAGCAGUGGGGAAGAUUGCACAAUGGGCGCAAGCCUGAUGCAGCCAUGCCGCGUGUAUGAAGAAGGCCUUCGGGUUGUAAAGUACUUUCAGCGGGGAGGCGUUACCCGCAGAAGAAGCACCGGCUAACGCCGUGCCAGCAGCCGCGGGAAUAC
rnacentral:rRNA from 1 species